CCGUUUUAGGGUUUAGAAACUGAUUUUAGAUAUCUCCAAAGAGAAGGCUCGUUUGGCUGCUGUUCAGGUUAAUGGACCUGUGUUGGUUGAAGACACUUGCCUUUGUUUCAAUGCCUUGAAAGG